rnacentral:rRNA from 1 species
GACGAACGCUGGCGGCGUGCCUAACACAUGCAAGUCGAACGCGCCUGUCCUCUGGGGUGCUGGGGGGUGGGUGAGUGGCUAACGGGUGAGUCACACGUUAGUAACCUGCCCCCGUCUUCGGUAUAACGGUCUGAAAGGGCUUCUAAUACCGGGUUUUCACUGGUCUCCGCGUGGGGUCUGGGGGAAAGGUUUUUUUCUGGGUGGGGAUGUGCUCGCGGCUUAUUAGCUUGUUGGUGGGGUGAUGGCGCACCAAAGCUUUGACUGUUAGACGGCCUGAGACGAUAACCGGUCACAGAGGGACUGCGCUAAGGCCCAGACUAGGACGCGGGGCAGAAGUGGGGAAUAUGGCACAAUGGGCGAAAGAGUAAUGCAGCGGCGCGGCGUAAGGGAUGGAGGCCUUAGAGUUGUGAAGCUCGUACGGCAGUGAUCAAGCCGCAACGGGGGUCGUGGUGACGGUACCGGGUAAAGAAGCGCCGGCUAACUACGUG